rnacentral:rRNA from 1 species
AGCGAACGCUGGCGGCAUGCCUAACACAUGCAAGUCGCACGGGGGGGCUUCGGCCUCCCAGUGGCGGACGGGUGAGGAACGCGUAGGGACCUGUCGAGGGGUGGGGGAUAACCGCGGGAAACUGCGGCUAAUACCGCAUGACGCCGCGGCGUGACAGCCGGGGCCAAAGGCGAAAGCCGCCCGCCGAGGGGCCUGCGUCCGAUUAGCUGGUUGGCGGGGUAGCGGCCCACCAAGGCGUCGAUCGGUAGCUGGUCUGAGAGGGUGAUCAGCCACACCGGGACUGAGACACGGCCCGGACCCCUACGGGAGGCAGCAGUGGGGAAUAUUGGACAAUGGGCGCAAGCCUGAUCCAGCAAUGCCGCGUGGGUGAAGAAGGUCUUCGGAUUGUAAAGCCCUUUCGGCGGGGACGAUGGUGACGGUACCCGCAGAAGAAGCCCCGGCUAACUUCGUG